GACGAACGCUGGCGGCGUGCUUAACACAUGCAAGUCGAACGGUGAAGCGCCUUCCUUUUUGGUGGGUGUGGAUGAGUGGCGAACGGGUGAGUAACACGUGAGUAACCUGCCCCCUUCUUCUGGAUAACCGCAUGAAAGUGUGGCUAAUACGGGAUAUUCUGGGUCUGUCGCAUGAUGGGUCUGGGAAAGAUAUUGUUUCGGUGGGGGAUGGGCUCGCGGCCUAUCAGCUUGUUGGUGGGGUGAUGGCCUACCAAGGCGGUGACGGGUAGCCGGCCUGGGAGGGUGGACGGUCACACUGGGACUGAGGCACGGCCCAGACUCCUACGGGAGGCAGCAGUGGGGAAUAUUGCACAAUGGGGGCAAGCCUGAUGCGGCGACGCCGCGUGAGGGAUGGAGGCCUGCGGGUUGUGAACCUCUUUCGCCAGUGAAGCAGGCCUGCCUCGUUUGUGGGUGGGUUGACGGUAGCUGGAUAAGAAGCGCCGGCUAACUACGUG
rnacentral:rRNA from 1 species